ensembl:snRNA
AAAAGGGACAACUGGAUUGUUCUGCGUGUGGAAUCAACCUCAAGAGAUUUUGGAAGUAUAACCUUUUGGUAUUUGGGCAGCUGGUGAUCUUUGUUCCUGGCACCCCU